UAGGGGGGGUUUCUUAUUACAACCUAGUAUUUAUUUACUUACAUGCAAAGAUGUAUGCAUCUCUACAUCAAUGGUGCAUUAAAUAAAAGACAGCAAAUAAUAAUAAUACAGCUUCCGAAUCUCUCUCUCAUUAACCUAAAAAGGGCAAUCUGAUCUCCCCCUACCCACCAUAAUUGACAUCUCCCCUUUCAUUUUCAACCCAAUUUAUUUUCUCAUAAAAAAAACCCUUCUGCAAAAGCAAUAAAAGACUCCCAAUUUUGUAGAAAAAAACGGUAAUUAUUGCAAAAAUUAUUUGUUUAUUUAUUCCAAGAUUGGAUUUUUAAGAGGAAAGAAGAAAUAAAAAAUCAGUCUUGAUCGAAGAAGAAGGGAGGAAAGUGUUAGGGUUUUGAAUUGAAAUGCAAAAGGGAACAACCAGUUGUUUUUCUUUGUGCACGAUUGAAAAUCCCCAGCCUGCAGAACCUGCAACAGCUUUACACACACUAUAGUUGGAUUUCUAUGGACAAUGGCAUAUGGUUUUAGCAAUCAAGAGAGGCAGCAUUUGCAGAUAUUUAACAUAGCAUUGUACUCGGUAAAUUCUCGGCAAUUUUCAUCUUGUCGCAACUUCGGUUCAUCAUUUGCUUGAAAGAUCGAUUUUGCCAAUUUAAACGAGUUUCGAUCAACAUAGAUCAAAACCAACACCAUCAUCGAAAGGUUUUAUCAAUCUCCAAGAUCAGGGCUUGAACAGCAUUAUGGAUGCAAGAACAUCCAAGAAUCCGACAAUCGUCCAAAGAAAGACGAUACAAGCCACUACUACCGAGAGAAGGAAAUUGGAAUAUACCCGUUCUUUCUCAAAAGGGCACGGAGGGAGAAUAUUCCGUUACUUCACAAUGGAAUCUUUGAUUCUCCUCGUUUGCCUAACGGUGUCUUUGCUGAUACUGCCCCUCGUGCUGCCCCCUUUGCCGCCCCCGCCUUUUCUGCUGCUUCUCCUACCUAUAUGUAUAUUGGGCCUUCUUAUGAUCUUGGCUUUCAUGCCUUCUAAUGUACGGGACGCGACGUAUGCGUACGUGUAAAUGGCGUUUCUUUUUUCUUUUUGUUUCUACUAUGAUGUUCUGGAAGAGAGUAUUGUAACACACUUGUUUUUGUUUCUUAAUCAAAAUUCACCUAACUUUGCAUAUGUUAUGUGUC